rnacentral:tRNA from 1 species
GGUGACUCAGUGGUAGUGUGCUUGCUUUGCAAGCAUGAAGCCCUGGGUUUGAUUCCCCAGCACCA